GCCGGUGCAGGGAGCGGGGCCAGGGCAUCCCCCGCCACCGCCCUCCCGCUGUUCUCUCCGCGGGACCCAGCGCGGUCCCCGCAGGCUGCGGGGCUGGGGUGGAGAGGGGGAGCCGGGCACCGCACUGCCCGGUCCCAGUCUCUGUGAGCCGGGGCCACCGCCCCGGUGUGUCCCGGGCUCUGCCGCCAGGCGCGGGGCCGCCGGGCGCAGCUCUGCCCGCGGGGAGGCUGCCAGGACACCAUUCCGCGGCUGGACCCCGUGCGGCCCCUUUAAGGGCGCAGGGGGCUCCCUCCGGGCAGCGCCGCAUGGCGCGGCGGCGGCAGCGCGUGGGAGUCACGUGGGCGGGACGUGGAGGCAGCCUAUUGGCCCCCGCCCCCUGCCCGCUGCAAUCAGCUGUUACUGGGGCGAAGGGCAGGAAACGUCCUUAAAGGGGCACCGCACCCCUGAACCCCGCCCCCCACCCGGCUCGGUCCGCAGCAGCUGGGGCGGGAGCGCUGCGGCUGCCCGCAGGGCUGUGGUGGCCCCGCUCGCUUGGCCUAGCCGGGCGGCCGCCGCCCCCGCCCUCCACCCCCGCGGCUGGGGCGGAGGGUGCGGCCCCUUUAAAUAAGUUGUCCAGUCAUCGCGCGGCGCUGCCAAGUCAUCGGGGUCAGCCGAGUUCCCGCAGCUCCGCCCCCCACGGCCGCCUAUUGGUGCGCACGGCAAGCGCUCACUUCUGAUUGGCCGCCGACUUAGAGCAACUUCUCGGAAUCGGGGCUGUGUCACCGGCCCCAAGCGAUGAAAGGCGCGGGCGGCGCCGCCCGAGGGCGGGAGGGGGCGGCCGGGGCGGCCCCGAGACAGCGCCGCGCCCCGGCAGGAGCCUCCGGUGCGGGCCGGGCCCUUUCAGAGCCGCCCUCCCCCCACCGCCUCCUUCACCCUCUUGAAAAUGCCAACUCACAGCACGCGGGGCAUGCCGGGAGCGCCGCGCCGCACUACACCUCCCGGCAUGCCCCGCGGUGGGGCGGGCCCAGCCGUUUCCUAGGCAACCGCCGGUUGGCCAGGGGUGAGCCCAGCGCUCCCCCAACGGGGUGGGCGGGGCAGAGAGCCGGCUUUGCCUUCCCAUUGGCUGGGUGGCAGCCGGUGUUUGGUCGCCAUUGGCGGGAGCGGACAGCACUCGCGGCGGGGGCGGGCGCGGCGGGGGCGGGGCUCGCACCGCCCGUCCCGGGAGGCGAUUGGCCGGGGGCGGGGCCGGUGGGUGGCUGCGUCAUGACUCCGCCAGCUGAUCCGAGACGGGAGCCGGCGCGCGGCGGCGGGGGGAGCGGCGGCACCGGGUCGGGUGGUGGCGGCGCCGCGCAGGUGCUGCCCUGCCGCCCUGCUCCUGGCUAACCAGCACCAGUUCUUCAGUGGCAAGCUUUAUGUCCUUCUCUAGUAGCUAAAGCUGCCAGUUGAAGAACUGUUGAAUGUAGCCACUCGCUUCUCGUCACCGGUGCCUUGAAUGUCAGCUGGAUCUGCGCCUCGAGUGACUAGGAUGGGCCAGUCUGCAGCAUCCCGUGGAUUUGCGGGCUGAGGAUGAGUCCGACUGGGAUGAAGAAGUCUCCUCUCGGACUCCAUACGGAGCCUUGUCUGGGGAUUGCCAGGCAGCCCUGCCAGUGGGGCUGUCAAGCAGGGUUUCCCCCACUGGUGGGGUGGCACUGAGUUGAAAGAUAACUAGAGAAGACCGAAAGAGGCAUUAAACUUUCUGUUUUGUUCAACAGUUCAGUUUUUAGGAAGUUUGUUGCCUGUGGGGUGCCUGGACCUGCCGGGCAGGAGGGUGGUGGGGGCUGCAGACCCACAGGUUGCUGGGGUGGGCAUAGCACUGGAGCUCAGUCCCUGGCUGAUGCUGCAUUGGUCUCCACGGGUGGAGGGUUGGUUGUUCAGGCCCCUUUGGUUUGUCCCAAGCAAAAGAGGCGACCUGAGGCUGGGUGUAGCUUGCAGGACUGACCUGCUGCUGAGCCCAGGAGCAGGGUUAAUCCUGCACGGUGCCAGGCAGUGGGAUGGAGCUGGAGGAGAGGGCCGGCCCCACACCCACACUGCCCUGGUGCGGGUUGGGGCCGGGCUGCCGGGAGCGGGUGACUCAGGGCCGAGUCACGCACAGCCCCAGACGUCUGUUCCGGGAACCAUGGUCCUGCAAGGCUGGGCAGCCCCAUCCGCAGCUGGGACUGGGCCAGGAUUCCCAGUAUUUGGAGCUGGCAGCACUGAAAAGGGCCCAGGUGAACCUUGCUGGGCUCCUCUGUGGUCCAGGUUCUGCUUUGUUGAAGCAGAAGUCUGUCCUAAAGGAGACUUGGAAACUGCUCUCCAGGGAUGGAGACCCCCCCUGCCUUGCACUGGGUGAGAGUGGAGCUGUAGAGCUCCUCCCCUAUGGCUCAGAGCAGAGUGAAAUGUCUGUGUGGACCUAGUGAGGGCUCCUGAGAGCCCCUGCACCCCUAGAGGUGCCUGUCCCAUGGGGCUGCCAGGGCCACCACCUCCCCUGGUGGCUGGGGAGCAGAGAGGUGUCUGGGUGCUGCUGCUCGGGGUCUGCCAGGAAGAUCACAGCUUGUCCCAGCUCUGAGGGUGAGCAGGGAGGGACGACCCUGCGCUGAAAUAAGUCUGCAGAGUCUCAACUAAAUCUGCCUGUCUGAGUUCCAGCUGCUCAAGGCAUGGCUGUUACCAAAUUGUGGCACUUAGCAAUGUGCAGAAAGUGGUCUGGCGUCCGUUAAGUGUUAUAAAUGGGGAAGCCUGUUGUCCUGGGGUCCUUCCUUCUUACAGAGAGCUGGUUUGCUUGAUGUGUGCUUGCUGAUGGCUACAAGAAGCCAAGUUUCUUUGGGAUCAUUGUGACCCAGAGUGAGCAGGGCUGCCUGAACCCCCUUGCAUCGCUCUCUGAGCAGAAAGGACUGUGGAUGGACACCUCUGGCUUGAGGCAGAGUCGACCUCUUCCACCACAGCUGCCCUGCUUCAAGUCCAUACAAAAUAGCCAGCACCUGCUCAGUGCUCGACAGGUCCUGGAGUGCACCAAGGGGGCAGAAAAGUCGUGAAGGUGUGUGUGCAGGAUACUCAAGGGCAAGGAGGAGCAGCUCCCGGGCUGUGCUCACCCUCCCGUGCAUCACAGUGUGGUGCUGUCAACGCUUGGUGUGGAAGGGAACUCUCUAUUCCAGCCACCAGCAUCUCCACCCUUGCGUGCCUUGGCGUUGGGGUAAUGAUUAGAUUUGCUGCUUCCUCCUGUUGCCGAAAAACACCGACCCGACCUGCUGAAAACCAGCUCUGUGCCCAGUAAGAUGUGGUUAUUUCAGAGUAGAGAGUUGCCCUAAGCAGACGCACCAAGCUCCUGAGGUCAGGAAAUGUAAACCGCCACCUUUAUAGUCAAUUUUUCAGAUGUGAGAAGGUGCCAGAGUGCAAGUUAUUGUAUUUAGUGCAAAACCAGCACCCUAGUAUCUCACCUGCUGGGCAAACAGGCUUGGGCUCAUGGUUAACCUGCAUUUAAUGUGAAAGCAGAGGGUUUUUAGGGUGACAAAGUCAGUGUCCCUGCAGGAACUUGCCCAGCUCUCAGGGUUUACUCUUCCUCCUGCAAAGCCCCAUGUGACCAGUGAGUAAGUACAGUGUUUCCUGUAGAAAGCACAGCUUUGCUUGCUGCUGCCUUGCAAAAAUCCAGUGACUCUUUCCUCCAGCAUCAAGGCUGCAUUUUCUACAGCAUCUGGUCACCUCCUCGAAGCAUCCAGCACGCAGGGACACGGCGGGAGAGGAGACACCAGCCAAGGCUGCUGUCAGGGAGUGGGAAUCGCUUGCUGCAGCAGAUAUUGUGAUAUUUGAGGCAGCUGUAGCAAUGCCCGCAGGUGCUGCUGGCUCAGAUGGGAUGGCAGCCCUCUGUCCUUAGGGGUAAGGUAUUUCGUGUGAGCUCCUACACACAGACUAUCUAGUUCCCAGCUGGGAGAGCAGCUUGCCUUGGUCACAGCUCCCCUUGCUGGGAAAAAGUGCUUUUUGCAAAGCAGAAGGUCAGCGUGACCGGUGUGCUGAACCCAAGCUCCCUGCCAACAGCCAGCGAGAGGAGCAGGAGGGGCUGGUGGAUCUGUGAACGUGUGGCUGCUUCUGCCUGCUCAGACCCUCAGCUGAGCCCCAGGACCUGAGCGUCCUCCUCUUGUCCAGCCCAGCAGGUCCCUGCCUGGAAGAGAGGGGAAAGCGCUGCUUUGCUCUGCCCCAGUAUGCAGGCAAGCAGCCGAGGGCUGUCUGCAAGCACAAAAUGCAGGUGCUGGGUUCAGCUUUGCUCAUAAUUUUAUUUCUCUUGUGCCACGACAGGAGGAUGCGGAGCUGGUAACGCUUGCUUGACUCUGUGCCACUCACGGCAGGGCGCGUACCAAGCUUUCUGCCAGUGAGGGUGUAUUGCAGACAUCGCAGGCCCUGCAAGCAGGAGGUAUGUUGCAGAUUUGCACUAAAUUAUCUUUGUGUCUCUCAGUGGACUCUGCUGGCAUGGGGAACACAGCGCAGUGCCACCCACCAGCCUGGUCAGGGUGUCACUUACUCUGCUUCUUCUUUAGAGAUUUGUUUCCCCGAGUAUAAAACUUCUGCAAUCAGGGACACCAUGGGGUCACAGUUCAGGCUGGCGGCUGCAGUCACGAAGCCAUCCCUGAAAGGGAAAGCGGAAGAACGUGGAUGUCCUCACUGUACAUAGCUCAGCAUGGCAGCAUCCCCAUGGCAGCCUGGCUGGAGCCCAGCUGUAUUUUGGAGGGCUCAGAGGAGGGUGGCUGGUGCUGCAGGGUGUGCGGGUACUUGUGACAGAUCGCCUGGUGCUGCUGGGAGCUGGGCACCGAGCCUGGGAGCAGCGGGGCAGAGGGAGAGGAGAUGUGUCCCAGGCUCCCUGCCCAGCUGGUGUCUUCGUCAGAGCUCAUUCUCUUCUCCUUCCCUGCUUCGGUUUGCUCUGAAACCACCUCACUGCUGGUUCAACAGCCAGCAGCUGCCUGCAGUGCGUGGCCAUGGGAGGUGAUGUGGAGCCUCUGCAGGCUGUAAGGGACAGAACCAUGUCCUGUUCCCAGGGCACUGCUGUGUCAGGGCACCAACCAGCCACAAGUUCACUCACCUGAUGUAAAAGAUCAAGAACUUCUGUUGCUCCAGGCUGCCCUUCACAACAGUGUCCGUGUAUCCCUUCCCGCAGCCUAAGAGAGACAGAGAACAUCACAGCCCACUCGGGGAGCCCUGGUACCACAGCUGGCACCUGUCCCACCUCAGUGUCAUCACAGGUAGGGGCAGAGGGGACAGUGACUGGCUGGAGCUGGGAACAGCGAUGGGGAGCGGACAUAGACACCGUGAACAAGCAGAACAGACCCAGAAAUGCAGGACUGCGUCAUGACCCCAAGCCUCUCCUUGCCUUAGAGAGGGAAUUUCUUCCUCCUUUGUGACCUCUAAGCCACCGGAGAUCAGAAAGAACAAGAGCUCUGGGUAACCUGCUGGCCCAGAGCUCAGAAACAGGGUUCACAAACUCAGUCCAAAACUUGAGCUGCUUCAGGUAAACUCUGCACCCCCUGUGUGUUUACAAGCCCCAGACCCUGCUGGUGGAUGAGCAGAUGGGCUUGGAAGCAGUUCAGCUCUUCCCAUCUCUCCGCCUCCUCCUACCUGCAUAGCGGAUGCUUUUGCCAAGCAUCCUGGUCCAGAAGAAGGGGACAAUGUGCAGCUUCUUCUCUCUCUUCAGCAUGUUAAAGGCAGCAAUGUGACCUGUGAUGAGCCAGGAGAAGAAAUAGUUUUGUUGCUUGUAGGUCCUCAAAAAAGUGCCCUGUGCCUCUUGUUUCCCUGCUGUCCUCUCUGUCCUGUUCCUCCCAUGCCCAUCUUCCUGUCUCACCAUGGGCCUCUGCCACCUGUUGGUGAUGGAUGCUAGACUGUUCCCAGCCGAGAAGCUCUACAGGAAAGGAGACCACAUCCCCAGCAGCGAAGACAUUUGGGAUGUUGGUUCGCAUGUGCUGAUGGGACAAAAAGCAAUUAGUGCAAUGAUGAGAGGGACGGGACUGGGUGUGGACCGAGAAUGCUCAGCUGGCACUUACUAGAUCCACCAGGAUGGCGCUGCUGUCAUCUCUGGCGAUGGAGGUGCCCUUCAGAAAUGUGGAGUUGGGGACCACUCCUGCAGGAAGAGGAGCAAAGACAAAUGCAGCAAAGCUCGGCAAAGGCAGGGAGGAAAUUUGCCUUGGCCCUACAGCAAAAAUGUGUGUGUUCAGCCUGCUUGGAGCCCAGCAGCUCACAGCAGUGACUGGUUCUUGGGCUGGUGCUGGGCUAAUCCAGGGGCAAUAAAACUAAGGUGCAGAACAAGGUGUGCUCUGAUACCACAGCAGGGACCUGCGGAGCUCAGCAAGUGAACCAGGGUCACUCUGAGAGCGUAAGUAGCUCCUUCCUCCUGCUGCUGCUUGUGGGCUGCUGAUGUUCUCCAGGUGCUCAGGGACAAGAGGAAGGGUUGGAUGACAGCAGAGCAAGAAAGGUACUGCAGGGAGCGGUGUCCUGGGGACGCACUGGGGUGCUCUGGGCUUGCUGGCUGUUCUCCCCACUCCCAAAGCCACCUCCCUCUCCCAGCUGGGCUCUCAUACCUAUUCCCACCACUACCACAUCGGCAGGUAUAUUCUCUCCACUGGAAAGAACAGCCUCUGUGACCUAGGAAGGAAGCAAGAAUCGUUAACAAAGGGUUAAAAACUCUGUCCUAAUUCCUGCAGUCUCCCUGCUGCCUCAUUCUUUGCUGUCUUCUUUCUUCCCCAGGUUCAGAUCACCUUGUCCAACUAAUGUGUGUUGCCAGGAAUGUAAGAGAAAAUCACACUGAUGUCCCUGAGAUAUGAACAGAUACUGGUGCCCUUUGAGUUCAGAGUUGUGCUCAAUGAGAAGAAAUGUGAGGGUCUAAAUGUGGGAGAGGAAAGCCUAGGUGAAGGCACUGGCUUAUGCCUCAGUUUGUUUUUUUUCCCCUAAAAUUAACAGUUGAUUGAUCACAAUGGCAUGACUGACCUUUCCAUCCUUUCCUUUCAGCUCACGGAGUUCUGUUUCCAUGUAAAACUUCACCCCGUUAUUUUGCAGCAUCUGAAAAGGAAGAGGAAGCUGGUUGGAGUAUUCACAAGGAAAUUCCAGGCUGUGCUGCUGUAAAAAACAGCCGUACCCAGCCAAAACCCAGGCAGGCGGCUCAGCUGCUGCGGAGCGGUUUCGUUUGUGUCCCUGGCUGGUGCAGGCUGCCUGGAAGCCUGGCUUUGAUGCCCUGGUCAGGACUCUAGGAUGAAGCAGGGCUUGGGGAUGAAGCUGAGCUGGAGAGUGCAACUUGUGUGCGAGGGAGGUUGGGACCAGCUGUGUGUGUGCAGCUGGGGCUGUGAGAAAGUUGGCUGGGCAUAUGAGGUUGUCACUCAGGACAAUGGCUGGAUUUCCCAGGCCAUUGCAGAUCACAGGGCUGCUUGGGUAGCAUGUGUUCUCCAUCCUAGAAAUUAGCAGCAGGUUUUCCUCACCUUCAUGGCGACACCUCCAACCUCAGGACCCAGCGCAUGCUGGAAAGGGAACUCCUUUUUUUCCACCACUGAGACUGCACCAGCCUUGUCUGAGAGGAAGGCAGCGAUCUCCAUUCCUGCAAGGGGAAGGCAUGCCCGAGGUGAGCCUGCUGCAAGCAGGAACCUGCACCUUCCUCCUUGGAAAGCUUUUCCCUUUCCAGGUGAGGAGAACAAAUCUGAUGUCGUGCCACUGUUGAGCUACUCCUCUCUGCGUUUCUGGGCUGAGGUAUUCAGCCUCCCUGUUCUUUCUUCUCAUGCACUACAGACCUGGAUAUUAGGAAAUGCAAAAAACACCUUCUAGCUGUGUACAAAGUAGCUCCCUUUCCAUGCCUUACUCCCUCACUUUCCCAAUGCUUCUAGAGAGUCCAGCUCCUCUGAAGGACAGUGACCUUUUCACAAGGCACAUUUCCCUCUGUGCAUAUCCACAAAUUGUUUAUAACUCUCAAAGUUUAUGGCUGUCAGAGGAAACAGUGAGUAUGUGCUAUGUAACACACACUCCCACCAGCUAUAGGGCUCCAGGGAGAAUCCCAGCCAGGCAAUGAACGAACAUCCCUUCCCUGAGAGCCCCAAGUUAACCUGCACAUGCAGCAAAAGUGGUUUUCAAGGCUGUCACUGAUGCCUUGGUGGCCACUCCAGCCUGGUACCUAUGAAUGAAGCUCCUACGAUCACCAGAUUCCUCCCAGUUGCCAGCUCUAAGAUCUUUCUAGAGUCUUCUGGGGUUUGGAGAAUGCACACGUUCUGCAGGUCUGCACCGGGAACUUUGAGGUAGCUGGAACUGAAAGAGAGAGAAUGCAGAUACAUCUUAUAGUCAGAAAUGAAACAGAAAGGAUGGAGUGGGAGCACAAGCCCAUGCAAUCUCUCGGCUGUGUCACCCCAUCCUGUCAUUUUAUCUCCUACCACCUCCCUCACACACACCUCUAGAAAACCCCCACACUCCUGUGUUGACCCAUCUUGUCCCAUCUAAAAUUUUGUGUACAGCAGAUGCUUUGUGUGCUUACUGGCUGCCUGUUGCAAUGAGCAGCUGAUGGUACUUCUGUGAAGAUCCAUCCAUGAAGCGGACCUUCUGCUUCUGGAAAUCCACCGACACUGCCUGCAUGAGAAAGGAGGCAAAGAUCAGACAGGUACCUCUGGACCACUGGUGCCCUGUCACAUCAGCUUGUUCGCUUGCCUGUGACUGCGUGCCCAAUUUCUGGACACUCAGGUGAGAUGAGGAAUGCUGGGGUCCUCUCUCUUACUUCCUACAGGUCUUAGGCUUUAGGAUCGCUCAGCGACAGCACCAAGUCCGGGUUGCUCUAAGGCUGAUUUGAAGGCUCACCCUCUUUGCAUGGGAUGGGCCCAUGGGUAGCACAGAUGAGUGUUACACCCAAGGUCUGCACACCAGCUCUUGGAGUGCUGUCCCAGAAAGUAACGCAUGUACUUAGGCAGAGCACUAAUUUAUACAAAUGUAGCCCUAUGCCUGCAGGUGUGGAUGUCCCCUCCCCAUGGCAGGUACAGGAUCACCCAUUGAGAACUGAAUUGGUUGCUCUUGUACCUCUUUCUCUGUCCACAUCUCUAUACCACGAGCACUAAGGAAUUCAGGUUUCCUGAGGUAGGCAUCCUCAGCUUUCAAGUUCAUUUGCUGGAAACAAAGGAGAAAUAUGAAAUAAAGCACUUCUUGCAGCCAGCAAUACUCUUGCAGUGUUUAUUGGGACAUAAGUUUGCAUAAGAGGCAAAUUUUGCAUUAGUAAAUCACAGCUCCCCACAUCAUCUUCCUGUCCCUCCUCAGAAAAACCCAUCAACUCAAACUCUAGCAAGAAGAACUCAGUCAAAGGGGGUAAAACCAUUAGCUUAUGGUGCACUGUGAUCAAGGACUUUCUGGGAGGAGGAAGUGAGAUGUUAGCUGGAAAUUAUACCCCUUUUCCUCGUGGGUGCCUCAGCACGCCUGCUUUGUCAGAACGGCUCAAUUUCUGUCUGGCCAAGAGUGUGGGCCGUGUCCCUAAUUCACACAUGGUACUCAGAGUCCUGCCCUUCUCACAUACAAACCUUGCUCAGUUUGGAUUUGUCAUACGGAACAUGGUUCUCUUUGGUGGCCAUGAUGAUCCUGCCAGUAAAGCCCUCUUGGCGAAGUGUCUCUGCACACGCGAGGGCAGCCACACCUACAAGAGAUGCUCAUCCCAGCCCUCUUAUAUGUCACUAAGGAGUAGGAGGAGGAAGGCACGUCCUCCCUGGAGAAGAGAGUGGCAGCUUACAGCAUCCGUGGAGAAUGCACAGUAUCACUUCACUGACCUCCUCCCAGAAGCAGCAUCGUGUCGUAGUUGAGAAGGCAUCGCAUGCUUGUGUCCUUCACUCUCCGACUGCUUUCAAGAUCCUAGAAGAAAAUGAGAAAUGCUGAAAUCACACCUAGCCCACAGUGCUGCUUGAGCUUAGCAACAGGAGGUAAGAUUUUAAGGAACAGGAACUGUUUGGCACCUCUACAAGUGCCUCAGAUGCCAAUUCUGCGUGUGGUUCAGUCUGCCGAUGCCCAGAAGCGCGUUCCCACGUGGAGAAGCAGCAGCCCUCGUAGAGGCUUUCUCUGACUCAGCAGAAAUCACUGAAAAAUGUUGUUGGCUUAUGGAUGAAAGCUGCAGCACACCGGCAAAGUGGCAGGUACGAAGGCAUGCAGCUGUGGGAGGCUUUGGGACGGGCCAGAUGGAGCGCGGUCCUGUGUGAUGGUGUUUGCGCUGUGGGGCUGAGCAGCUGGUUUGGCUGCUGGAUGCAGACAAGCACCUGAGUAAGAACUUUUGUAAAAUGCAAAGGGAUAAAGGCAAAACAAAGUGUCAA